rfam:Pristionchus pacificus strain PS312 contig12870, whole genome shotgun sequence.
UCUUCAUUCUGCGCACUCUCUCACCGGUCAGAGUGACGAGAGAGUACGCAGAAUGAAGAGU